UACGGAGGUGGCAAGCGUUUUUCGGAAUCACUGGGCGUAAAGCGCGCGUAGGCGGCUUUUCAAGUCGGAUGUGAAAGCCCAAGGCUCAACCUCGGAAGUGCACUCGAAACUGCGUGGCUUGAGUGCCGGAGAGGGUGGCGGAAUUCCAGGUGUAGGGGUGAAAUCCGUAGAGAUCGGGAGGAACACCAGUGGCGAAGGCGGCUACCUGGACGGUGACUGACGCUGAGACGCGAAAGCGUGGGGAGCAAACAGG
rnacentral:rRNA from 1 species